UACGUAGGGGGCUAGCGUUGUCCGGAAUCAUUGGGCGUAAAGCGCGCGUAGGCGGCCCGGUAAGUCCGCUGUAAAAGUCAAAGGCUCAACCUCUGAAUGUCAGUGGAUACUGCCGGGCUAGAGUCCGGAAGAGGCGAGUGGAACUCCUGGUGUAGCGGUGGAAUGCGCAGAUAUCAGGAAGAACACCGACGGCGAAGGCAGCUCGCUGGGACGGUACUGACGCUGAGGCGCGAAAGCGUGGGGAGCGAACAGG
rnacentral:rRNA from 1 species